rnacentral:rRNA from 1 species
AGAGUUUGAUCCUGGCUCAGAUUGAACGCUGGCGGCAGGCCUAACACAUGCAAGUCGAACGGUAGCACAAAGAGCUUGCUCUUGGGUGACGAGUGGCGGACGGGUGAGUAAUGUCUGGGAAACUGCCCGAUGGAGGGGGAUAACUACUGGAAACGGUAGCUAAUACCGCAUAACGUCGCAAGACCAAAGUGGGGGACCUUCGGGCCUCACACCAUCGGAUGUGCCCAGAUGGGAUUAGCUAGUAGGUGGGGUAAUGGCUCACCUAGGCGACGAUCCCUAGCUGGUCUGAGAGGAUGACCAGCCACACUGGAACUGAGACACGGUCCAGACUCCUACGGGAGGCAGCAGUGGGGAAUAUUGCACAAUGGGCGCAAGCCUGAUGCAGCCAUGCCGCGUGUAUGAAGAAGGCCUUCGGGUUGUAAAGUACUUUCAGCGAGGAGGAAGGCAUUAAGGUUAAUAACCUUGGUGAUUGACGUUACUCGCAGAAGAAGCACCGGCUAACUCCGUGCCAGCAGCCGCGGUAAUACGGAGGGUGCAAGCGUUAAUCGGAAUUACUGGGCGUAAAGCGCACGCAGGCGGUCUGUCAAGUCGGAUGUGAAAUCCCCGGGCUCAACCUGGGGAACUGCAUUCGAAACUGGCAGGCUAGAGUCUUGUAGAGGGGGGUAGAAUUCCAGGUGUAGCGGUGAAAUGCGUAGAGAUCUGGAGGAAUACCGGUGGCGAAGGCGGCCCCCUGGACAAAGACUGACGCUCAGGUGCGAAAGCGUGGGGAGCAAACAGGAUUAGAUACCCUGGUAGUCCACGCCGUAAACGAUGUCGACUUGGAGGUUGUGCCCUUGAGGCGUGGCUUCCGGAGCUAACGCGUUAAGUCGACCGCCUGGGGAGUACGGCCGCAAGGUUAAAACUCAAAUGAAUUGACGGGGGCCCGCACAAGCGGUGGAGCAUGUGGUUUAAUUCGAUGCAACGCGAAGAACCUUACCUACUCUUGACAUCCAGAGAACUUUCCAGAGAUGGAUUGGUGCCUUCGGGAACUCUGAGACAGGUGCUGCAUGGCUGUCGUCAGCUCGUGUUGUGAAAUGUUGGGUUAAGUCCCGCAACGAGCGCAACCCUUAUCCUUUGUUGCCAGCGGUUCGGCCGGGAACUCAAAGGAGACUGCCAGUGAUAAACUGGAGGAAGGUGGGGAUGACGUCAAGUCAUCAUGGCCCUUACGAGUAGGGCUACACACGUGCUACAAUGGCAUAUACAAAGAGAAGCGACCUCGCGAGAGCAAGCGGACCUCAUAAAGUAUGUCGUAGUCCGGAUUGGAGUCUGCAACUCGACUCCAUGAAGUCGGAAUCGCUAGUAAUCGUAGAUCAGAAUGCUACGGUGAAUACGUUCCCGGGCCUUGUACACACCGCCCGUCACACCAUGGGAGUGGGUUGCAAAAGAAGUAGGUAGCUUAACCUUCGGGAGGGCGCUUACCACUUUGUGAUUCAUGACUGGGGUGAAGUCGUAACAAGGUAACCGUA